rnacentral:rRNA from 1 species
CCUACGGGAGGCUGCAGUGGGGAAUAUUGGACAAUGGGCGAAAGCCUGAUCCAGCCAUGCCGCGUGUGUGAAGAAGGCCUUCGGGUUGUAAAGCACUUUCAGUGGGGAAGAAAGCCUUGGGGCUAAUACCCUCGAGGAAGGACAUCACCCACAGAAGAAGCACCGGCUAACUCCGUGCCAGCAGCCGCGGUAAUACGGAGGGUGCGAGCGUUAAUCGGAAUUACUGGGCGUAAAGCGCGCGUAGGCGGUCUGAUAAGCCGGUUGUGAAAGCCCCGGGCUCAACCUGGGAACGGCAUCCGGAACUGUCAGGCUAGAGUGCAGGAGAGGAAGGUAGAAUUCCCGGUGUAGCAGUGAAAUGCGUAGAGAUCGGGAGGAAUACCAGUGGCGAAGGCGGCCUUCUGGACUGACACUGACGCUGAGGUGCGAAAGCGUGGGUAACAAACAGGAUUAGAUACCCCGGUAGUC